GAAUUUGAUCAUGAUAAUCUAUUUUCCUAUAUGUUUCAUUGCUGUUAUGAUCGCACUCUCAUGUAUUAGCUUUAGCUGAUUAUUC